UGUGAAUCCGGGCCCAGCUAUGAAGAUAAUGCAUUAGGAGACCCAACUACAGAAUCAAAUGUUCCACAUAUUUCAAGCGGAAAAAAAGAAUAAAAGGACAAUGGAUAAUGAAUUCUGUGAGGACAUUUUGAAAUUGAAGAGAGAGAAAUUGGAAAAUGAGAAGAUGUAUCA